rnacentral:rRNA from 1 species
AUUGAACGCUGGCGGCAGGCCUAACACAUGCAAGUCGAGCGGAUGAAGGGAGCUUGCUCCUGGAUUCAGCGGCGGACGGGUGAGUAAUGCCCAGGAAUCUGCCUGGUAUUGGGGGAUAACGUCCGGAAACGGGCGCUAAUACCGCAUACGUCCUGAUGUAGAAAGUGGGGGAUCUUCGGACCUCACGCUACCAGAUGAGCCUAGGUGGGAUUAGCUAGUUGGUGGGGUAAAGGCCUACCAAGGCGACGAUCCGUAACUGGUCUGAGAGGAUGAUCAGUCACACUGGAACUGAGACACGGUCCAGACUCCUACGGGAGGCAGCAGUGGGGAAUAUUGGACGAUGGGCGAAAGCCUGAUCCAGCCACGCCGCGUGUGUGAAGAAGGUCUUCGGAUUGUAAAGCUCUUUAAGUUGGGAGGAAGGGCAGUAAGUUUAACCCUUGCUGUUUUGACGUUACCAACAGAAUAAGCCCCGGCUAACUUCGUG